GAGUCCGGGGCGCAUCCCUGGUCCCGUGGCGGGCUCCAUCCUUCCAUCCCUCCCGGGAUCCAUCCGUUUCUCCAUGUCUUCCUCCAUCCCUUCCUCCGUCCCUUCCUCCGUCCCUCUGGGCCCGGUACCCCCCAGCGCGGCCCGGUGGUUCCCUUUCCUCCUGUGGUUACCUUAUUUCUCCCGGUGGUUCCCUUCCCUCCACGCCAGGCGGUGACCAGGCGAUUCCGACCCCCGCCCGGGUCUGACCCCCACGCCCCGAUGGGGUUCCCAGUGUCCCACCAAGGCCCCGGGGCCGGGGGGUGGUGGGAGGGACAGGGCAGGGACAUCGCACGUCGGGAAUGUUCCUUGGGAAUGCGGACAGGCCGGCAGGUGGAGGGAGGAAGGGGAGAACCCGCUCUGCUGCUUGUUUUACCACUUAUCUCCGUGUCUGGUGGGGGUAGAACUGGAGACCUUGCACUAAAACUGGGAAGAGCAGGGGUGGCAGCUCAGCAGCACCUGGAGCAGCACAGGGACUUCUCCAGCCUCUGUCAGGCCUCUGUUCUCCACGGGCAUUAGCUCAAAGGACAGGAGGAACAAUCUCCAAGUGUAUUGCAAGAUCACUGAAACAUCCUGUGCAGGGAAGUGUGUGUAGGACUCAGUUUACAAGCUGGGAAGCUUUAGAUGCUGUGUUCACAAUCCUGACUUCCAGGAGUGUAAGUACAGCCAGGGACUAUCAAAAUAACCAGUGUGAAUGGGAGUCUUUCCCUUGGACAGCAACAGAGUAGAGCUGAAGCCCCAGAGGAACUGAAAUUGCAGACUUGUCCUUUUUCUCCCCACAGUAAGACCAAGAGAAGUCACUCAUGCUCCUCACAUCUUUGUGGUUUUAGUUACGUUCAGUUCCUCACAAAAAGUCAAUAAACUGUGCUGGGUGUAAUUGGCAAUGCUGAGCACUGGUUACCAAGGGUUUGGGUUUCCUUUGCUUUCCCUCCUUGCUUGUUAGGUAACAUAAUCUGCAGAUGAAUCUACCACAUACCUUGCUGUACUUGCUGCUUCUGUGGUGGCCAUCGCCAAAGUUUCCACUUCCCUUUCUCUAUUACUUUGUGCACUUGUGAAACAAUACCCAUUUUGUUUGAUGUUUGCCAUCAGAAAUCCAGUGAAUCCUCUGAGACUCUCUCCUCUCUGUACAGCACAACUCUCAAGGCACUCUAUGGAAGGUGACCAGAUGUGCAGGAAUAUCCCAGAUGACAAACUUCAUUUAGCAGGCAGCACUUAAUUCUCUGCUGAGUACAAAAAUUGGUUUUGCAGGGACAUUUUUAACAUUUGUGCUUUUACUUUUCUCUUUCUCAGUGAAACAAAAAGCUCCAACCACCCCAAUUCCUUAUUCUGUUGUCAGGAAUAAUGCUCACAGGCCACAAAUACAUAAGAGGCUCUGCCACAUAUGGCACUGCCUAAAUGUACCCAGCAAAGUCAGAGUAGACACAGGGACAAACCAACACCAGCUAACUAUGAACCCACAAAUUAGAUUUACUUCUGAAGUAGGGCACAGGUUAAUAAGAGUUUGGGAUGCUGUUUCAUCUCAGAGAAAUGUGUCUGUGUCUGAGACGAGCAUAUUUAAUCUGUGUGACUGCACUGGCAGGGUGGCAGUCAUAGCAACCCCUGGCUAAGGGGUAAGUAUGAAAAGCAAGUCUCACCCCAGCUCUGUGGGGAGGUGCAGGGAGGUUUUUCUGCUGCCCAUGCUCAGGCUGAGGUCACCUGCUGCCCUGAUGUCACCUGCAGCUGAGUGCAUGCACGUGUUUAACUGGAUGAACAGGCUCAGCUGGAGACCCCUGCCUGCUAUCUAGCUGGGAUCUCAGCAAUGGUUUAUAACCUGUGUAUCACAUUCUGUCCUGUCUCUCCUCCUGCCUUCAGGGGUUAUUCACAGUUUGUCUUGUACACCAUGAACUGCUGGAUGGUCAGAGAGGCCUUGCUCUUCUCUCACUAUCAGGAGCGUAAUGCAAAGGGCAAUAUCAGAUGCCAGUUAGGGAAACAUUGUGUACCCUCAGGGCUGAAUUCUGCCUGUGAAAAUAGAGUUUGAUUUUAUCCUGUUAGCUGCAGAAUUUCCUUCAGCUUGGGCUACAGUGCUUUACUAGAGCAGCCAAGGGAAAGCCAUGAGCACAUGACAUGUAACCACCUUCCCCUGUCCCAUCCACCCUGGGGCAGUGACCUGACCCACUAACUCGUGUUUCUGAGGUUGAACUCUGCUUGGUUCCUGGUUCCACUCAGGUAAUCUGCCCUCCCCUGCUCCCAUCUCUCUCCUCCCCAGGCCACAAAAGGCGUGCGCCAGAGAAGGUUUUGGGAAACGAGGGGACAGGAGAGCAGAGGAUGGGAGGGAGGGCGAAAGCAAGCUGCAGUGGCUACAGUCAGGUGUCAGAGGGGAAAGGAAGGAGGAGAAACAGCACAGAUGAUGGGGGGAGGAAUGUUACAGCUCAGGUUUUGCAGUGCAGUACAGAGCCCCCAUGCCUGCUCUGCCAGUGGGACUGGGGUGAUGUCCCCUGUGUGGAUUGAAGUCUGCAGAAAGCAGGAUUCAUUCUACCUUCCUCUUCUGCCCUUACUUUAUAUGAGAUGGUCCAUAUUUCUUAGCUAUAUAACCAUAUCACACAGUCACAGGGUGAAGGAAGGUGUCAGGUCUGCUCUCUACCACUCUACCACAGUUUUACCCUGAAAAUGUCUUUUUUUCCCCCUGUGUAACAGUUCUUGAACCAAAGGUAGGAGGAAUCAGGCUUCUGACCCAGAACUGCCUCCCCAUAAAGCUGUCACGUUAGCACAGCAGUGUUCAGAUACCAUUUGCCCCCUGCUGGGUCCUUUUCCCUAGACUAUGUAUAAAAUCAGAAAAAAAAAUAAUAUAGGUAUUUAUUUGCCCUCUUGCCGCCUUCUGCCCUUCACUUCCCCUCCCCCUUCUCAGUGUCUGAUCCAUGGAGUGGGAAGCUCACAGGCUGAUAGAUGCACAACAGUCUAGCCAAGAAGGUCAGGCACCAGGAAGGCACAACAUUGCAAUUGGCUGUUUUGAUACUGGGAGUGCUGGGGAACAAACACUGAUUUUAGCUUAUCAAUAGCAGUGUGUUUCUCUCGUCUUGCUCACAGUCCUCCCAUGUAUAUAAUCUCUCUGCAGGACUUGUCAGCUACCGGUGGUUUUUAGACAAUAUAACCAAUCCAUUUUGGAUGUGUUGGCAGCACACCUAAAGUGGUGUCAGCAAAUUCUUCCUAUUCAUUCUUGAUUUAGGAAGUAAAGGGCAAGGGAGAAGUAAGUUGCUGAUGGAUCUGUGGUACUGUUGGAAGGGAAAGAACAAAUGAACCCAUACUCAGGUGUAGUCUAAUGUCAGAAAAAUAGUAAUGGAGAGGAAAACGGUAUUUUGGGACCAUUUAAAAGUGCUGGUCCACUACCACUCACUGCUUCUUACAGAAGUGCAGUGAAAUUUAUUGGUCUGUGAAUCACCAGGAAACAGCUGAUGUCCAGCUCUACCUCUUGGUUUUGCUGGACAUCUGGCCUGUGCUGUCACAUCCUACAGUGAGGGGAAUGGAGCCAGAGCUUUCACAUUGGUUCCAAUCACAGGCAGAAGACAAGAGGUGCAGGCAGGGUGAGGUAUCAAAAGCACUCAGGGGAUGUGAAGCAAUAGCAGGAUGCUGGGAGAGCAGAUGUCCAACUCCAGUGAGCUAAAUCUCUUUUGGGAAACUCCUAGAAAGAGAUCUAGCACCUUGUUCUGCCUCCUUUCCUCAGGCCCAGUUUACUUGAGUACUGCCGUGAGCAUGUGGAAGUUUUUCUGGCAACUGUCACCCAAAUUUGAAGUAGAAAAUUAUGUUGAGAAAGACAUGAAACACUGUAAUAAGCUGAUUACCUAUUAACUUUGGUAUCUUUCCUUUUUUUACUUUACACUGUUGCCAUGGUUCAGAUCAUGAUUUCGCUAUAUUUUGCAAAACUGACAAUACCACAUUUUGUAUUGUGUGAGUAGCUAUGGAGAAAGCAGAGGGUUGUGGGAGUUGUGGCUUCUGGGACACGAGCCUCAUGGAAGCAGGGUAACAUUGCCAGCUUAGGACAGCAACUGAAUGCACCUGCUAAAAUCAUGGAAAAAAAAGAAGGUUGGAAGAGACUCCAAGAGAUGAUCCAGUCAGUUCCUCUGCUUCAGCUGCAUCAAUUUUGAUGUCAAUAAUGGCGUUCUUGAAAACGUCCAGAUAUGACAAUUCCACCGUUCCCACAGACCAUUUAUGACAGCAUCCGCAAGAAAGGUAAAAAAAGCUCACCACUAAAAUGAUUCCAAGGAUAAAUUAAGCAUCUCAGGCUUUUACUUAAGUUUGCUGGUGAACUCAGUACACUUCACUUCAUCUGCUAUCUUCUGGGCAUCUUUUCAGUCAUAAUCUUCAGUGCCACGAGAGAUAGAGGGGACAGAACCCGAGCUCAUACACUGAGCUCCCGUGUGUCUCUGUGCCAGCUGAGGAUCCAACCUGUUUGUUUUUAUAAUGGCCACUCAAACUCUCACCACAACAUGGGGUUGGACUUUGAGGUUGCCCUCUCCUGAUGUCCUGCUCGCAGCACUCAUUUCCUUCUAGCAAACGAACCCUUCCUUGCUGCAGCAGAGCUUGGUAGAAUGCCCCAUAGACACUGGGGCAGAGUCCUGCUGGAAAGCACACCUGAAAAGGGCCCAGAAACAUCAGCUUUGCUCAAGAGGGGAUCAGAGUACUCCCUGCAGGUCCUGCCCAGGGCUAUCUCCUACCUCUGACUCAUGCAUUUUGCAACAGGGGAGAUAGCAGGGUAGUGCUCCAUGGAAUUUGGCCGCUCUGCUCUUUGCUUAGGUAUCUGCUUGCUUAAGAGUUUGAUUCAUCAUACCAAUUAUCAUAUAAAUGCUCUGGCACCCAUUCAUGCAGCUGGGCUGGCAUCUCCCUGCUUGGCACCGGAUGUUAUUUAACACUGACAUUGAUUUAAUACUGAAGGUUGCUUUAUUGGGUUUUGUAGGUGGCUUUGAUACCAGAGUUCUGGAAGAGAGUUUCACCCCGGUAAGCUGAAAAGCUUGUAUCUUCUUCAUGUGGCAAAAGGAUACAUUUCUAAUGAAAAACAGCAAAUCAAAUCAGUGGCUGUACUUUCUUUUAGCUUUCCUUCUAUUGUCACACCCUUUUUCUUCCACACCAGCUUUUGUGCCACCAGCCUCUCUUGUGACCUCUUCCAUCUUCAAAAACUUUCUUCUCAAUUUUUCUUUGUUCACGAUCCUCCUCUGUUUGCUCACCCUGUUUACACACCUGCCUGGCACAUACUUUGUGUAUUGCACACUUACAGGGGCCUGAAACACGUGAUUCAACAACAGAAUGUCCCUCUUGUUUCAUGGCCUGACAUCGACAAUAACAUUUUACACUUGUCACGAUCCAAAUUUUGAAUGUCUUUCUCAACUAUUCUUUGUGCUUUUUUUGUCUUUCUUGGCCCUUGGCAUUUUUUUCUCACCCUGUUCAUUCCCUAGAAGCUCCAUCUAACUUGGUUUGGGGCAUUCAUUAGCAGGCUUGUUAAACUGUUUGCACAUGCAUGUCCAAUUAAGUGUCAGGAGAGAGAGUCUCAGACCUAUAUAAUGACAUUUGGGUCUGCAAUUGCAUAUUAAACCAUCUUCUGGGAUUAUCUGUUUCCAUGGUGGCUACAAAUGCAGAGAGAAAGGAGGAGUCACCUCCCACACUACCCAGGAACAAACACAUAUCUUCAGGAGGAAAGAACAAGCAACUUUUGCCAAGCUCCACAGGCACUUUCCUCUCCCCACAGGAUUAAUCUGGAGUCCUGCCAAGGCAAUGGUUAGACACUGUUUGAGAAAUAACUGUUACAGCUCAAAGACGCAGCACUAACCAGACCCUCAAAACACAGCACAUACUGUUCAGGGCUUCGGCCUCCACAGCUUUGCAAGCACAGAACUCUUUCUGACAACUAUCAAAAGUCUUUCUUACAACUCUGCGCUUGUCCAUAGUUUCUUCUCAGUUUCCUGCUAUAUUUCAUGCCUAAAAAUGGCAACAGAGGAAAGAAAAAAGGCAGGCAACAAGGCCAUUUAGUCUGCCCAAAGCUCUAAAUGAAGCCUCUAUUUGAUGUUGUAUCUUUCUGUUAACAGGUACAUUUCAACUCAAGGGUUUUACUUUGUUAAGUAUUAUGGGAUUUGGGGAGAUUUGAAAAUAAGCUUCCAUAAUUGGUUUAUCCUAUCAGUAAUGUUGAUAACUGCAUACCUUCCUUGGCUGGCAGGCUAAACUUUGAGUAGUCAUAGACUAAAUUAAACUAACAAUCAACAGAAAACCAGAUGGGAUUCAUCUUUUAUUAUUGUUAUUCAGCAUGAAUCCUUAAAUGUAACAAAAGCUCAAGGUAAAAAGCUCAGGCUGUGGUUCAAUUAUGACAGUCAAAUGCCUUGAUCUUUACCCUAACACAGGCCAGACAGAACUGUCCAGGAUUAGGCAUCAUCCCUAUUAUUUCAAAUAGAAGCUCAUCAUUUGUAUCAUAUGAGGUUACACCACUACAGUCCUGUAAGGAGGAUGGUACACAUCAGUUUAACAAGUCUUUGAAGAAGCAAAGAACUGUCUUUGAAUGGUGGAAUACUGUGAUUUUUGAUAGCAGAUUUUAAGAAAAAAUAAAAUUAAAAAAGGCUUAAUUCUGCUUAAAACAUUAGUCAGUGAAUUCAGGAGAUAUAACUCUUCAUAGUGGUAAAGCCAAUAUGAGAAGCAAGCAUUCAGUGGGUUCUUUAGUCCACAAAUGGUAAGGAACCCAGCCCUUGCUUUACUGGAACAGGGAUACCUCCAGGCUUCAACAAACAGGCAACACGACCUAUUUUACACAACUUACCACCUGCAAAUUUUGAAGACCCAUCUGCGAGUGAAAAUGAGUCCCGACAUGAAACUCUGUCUGGAUUGUAUGAAGCCAAAAUUAGGAAAUUACACUCAGGAUUCAGCUAAGUCUGGAAAAUUUUCCAUGCAAUUCGAAAUCUUAAUGAGCUGAGUGAACUUGUUUUCCUUCCCAUAGUUUCUUGUUCUUUUCCUUCUCUGUCUUUCUCUCCUUCUUUCUCUUCUCUUUUUGCAUUUUUAAUUUAUUUUUUUAAGAUCGCACUGUGUCUGCACUGACUUGGUACACCUAUCCAUACUAUUUAGACACAUAACAACCUAAAUAAAGCAAGAAACUCCUAAA